UACGGGGGGUGCGAGCGUUGUCCGGAAUCACUGGGCGUAAAGGGCGCGUAGGUGGCGUGAUAAGGGUGUGGUGAAAGCCCGGGGCUCAACCCCGGGUCUGCCAUGCCGACUGUCAGGCUCGAGUGCUGUAGGGGCAGGCGGAAUUCCGGGUGUAGCGGUGGAAUGCGUAGAUAUCAGGAGGAACACCUGCGGUGUAGACGGCUUACUGGACCAUCACUGACGCUGAGGCACGAAAGCGUGGGUAGCAAACAGG
rnacentral:rRNA from 1 species